AGAUAGAUUGACGUUACAGUCCACACAGGGACUUUCAUCAGGAUCAAGAUACUAAGCAUUAAGGCAUAUAUACAUACCGUAUAUACUCGAGUAUAAGCCGACCCGAAUAUAAGCCGAGGCCCCUAAUUUUACCCCAAAAAACUGGGAAAACUUAUUGACUUGAGUAUAAGACUAGGGUGGGAAAUGCAGCAGCUAAUGGUAAAUUUCUAAAUAAGAUUAGAUCCUAAAAAA